rnacentral:rRNA from 1 species
AUACGGAGGAUCCGAGCGUUAUCCGGAUUUAUUGGGUUUAAAGGGUGCGCAGGCGGGAGAUUAAGUCGGCGGUGAAAUUUUUCAGCUCAACUGUAAAAGUGCCUUCGAAACUGGGUUCCUUGAGUGUAGAUGAAGUAGGCGGAAUUUGUGGUGUAGCGGUGAAAUGCAUAGAUAUCACGAGGAACUCCGAUUGCGCAGGCAGCUUACUAAACUACUACUGACGCGCAGGCACGAAGGCGUGGGGAUCAAACAGGAUUAGAUACCCUGGUAGUCCACGCAGUAAACGAUGAUUACUAGCUGUUUGCGAUACAAUGUAAGCGGCUGAGCGAAAGCGUUAAGUAAUCCACCUGGGGAGUACGUUCGCAAGAAUGAAACUCAAAGGAAUUGACGGGG